ensembl:lncRNA
AAGGUGUGAUCGAUUUAAUUUAUUUUAAUCUAUUUAAUGUUAAUAUUUCCGCUAUCAAAGAGACUGCUAGUGCAGCUGUUCUGUGUGAUGAAGAGAGUCUUUGUCGUGUAAAGCUGAACGCUUGAUCAGUCAUUCCUGUCGAGAUCAGAGGAUCCACAUUCUCCAGGGACACAUUGAGCAGAAAAUCCCCAGAUUGAGGUAGCGUCUCAAUCAGCUGUACACUCAGGAGUCAUCAGGUAUAUCUGAGGGAUUAAGCUCAGUUCUGGAGUUAAUGGUCUGAGAUGGACUCUGCAUGCCACGGUGCAGGUGAGACGGAGCUGUUCCUGCGCAGCUGAGCGGAGAUCAAACCUGAGGCCUUGGAGGGGGAAGUCACCUGUGUCCACCUGCGGCUCUGGAAUCAAUAAAGACCCGGGCCAAGCCAUGGAGAACAAAAGCCUGUUUGAUAAGACCCGGGGACCUUGUUUCAGUCACAUGACGUGAAGGUGGAGAUGGGAUUGGGGUCGGAAAGCUCCGAAAUGAAGGAACUCUGAGGCUUUUGGCACAGAGAGAACUUGGAUUGAAACCUACUACUUUGGCGAAAGCUUCACAGAGUUCAGGUUGGAGCUUCACAAAUGCUAUUGUAAGAGGAGACUGACUUGUGGGCAAGAUCUUUUCUUCUUUACU